rnacentral:rRNA from 1 species
GAUUUCUGGCGGAACAUUUCAGGCCGGCCACGGUUUCGUGUGUUAGUGCUUGAAGUCUUCGCCAUCCUUCCAAUGGCUAUUCAUCCUUCUUCAUUGAGGUGGUGAGUGGUAUUGGAUCUUUUACUUUGAAAAAAUUAGAGUGUUCCAAGCAGGCUUUAUGCUAUGAAUACAUUAGCAUGGAGUAAUAAUUUAGGACUUCGGUUCUAUUUUGUUGGUUUCUAGGACUGAAGUAAUGAUUGAUAGGGAUAGUUGGGGGUGCUAGUAUUCAGCGGCCAGAGGUGAAAUUCUCGGAUUCGCUGAAGACUAACUUAUGCGAAAGCAUU